rnacentral:rRNA from 1 species
AGGCGCCGUCUAAUAACAUGCAGUCGAGCGGACAGAAAGGGAGCUUGCUCCCGGAUGUUAGCGGCGGACGGGUGAGUAACACGUGGGUAACCUGCCUGUAAGACUGGGAUAACUCCGGGAAACCGGAGCUAAUACCGGAUAGUUCCUUGAACCGCAUGGUUCAAGGAUGAAAGACGGUUUCGGCUGUCACUUACAGAUGGACCCGCGGCGCAUUAGCUAGUUGGUGAGGUAACGGCUCACCAAGGCGACGAUGCGUAGCCGACCUGAGAGGGUGAUCGGCCACACUGGGACUGAGACACGGCCCAGACUCCUACGGGAGGCAGCAGUAGGGAAUCUUCCGCAAUGGACGAAAGUCUGACGGAGCAACGCCGCGUGAGUGAUGAAGGUUUUCGGAUCGUAAAGCUCUGUUGUUAGGGAAGAACAAGUGCAAGAGUAACUGCUUGCACCUUGACGGUACCUAACCAGAAAGCCACGGCUAACUACGUGCCAGCAGCCGCGGUAAUACGUAGGUGGCAAGCGUUGUCCGGAAUUAUUGGGCGUAAAGGGCUCGCAGGCGGUUUCUUAAGUCUGAUGUGAAAGCCCCCGGCUCAACCGGGGAGGGUCAUUGGAAACUGGGAAACUUGAGUGCAGAAGAGGAGAGUGGAAUUCCACGUGUAGCGGUGAAAUGCGUAGAGAUGUGGAGGAACACCAGUGGCGAAGGCGACUCUCUGGUCUGUAACUGACGCUAAGGAGCGAAAGCGUGGGGAGCGAACAGGAUUAGAUACCCUGGUAGUCCACGCCGUAAACGAUGAGUGCUAAGUGUUAGGGGGUUUCCGCCCCUUAGUGCUGCAGCUAACGCAUUAAGCACUCCGCCCGGGGGAGUACGGUCCCAAGACUGAAACUCAAAGGAAUUGACGGGGGCCCGCACAACCGGUGGAACAUGUGGUUUAAUUCGAAAGCACCGCGAAAAACCUUACCAGGUCUUGACUUCCUCUGAAAACCCUAAAAAUAGGGCUUU